rnacentral:rRNA from 1 species
UACAGAGACUGCAAGCGUUAUUCGGAUUCACUGGGCGUAAAGGGUGCGCAGGCGGUCGUGUGUGUCAGAUGUGAAAUCCCGGAGCUUAACUCCGGAACUGCGUCUGAAACUACACGACUAGAGCAUUGGAGAGGGAAGUGGAAUUCAUGGUGUAGCAGUGAAAUGCGUAGAUAUCAUGAGGAAGGCCAGUGGCGAAAGCGAAUCUCUGGACAGCUCUUGACGCUGAUGCACGAAGGCCAGGGGAGCAAACGGG